rnacentral:rRNA from 1 species
AUUGAACGCUGGCGGCAUGCCUUACACAUGCAAGUCGAACGGCAGCGGGCCUUCGGGUGCCGGCGAGUGGCGAACGGGUGAGUAAUGCAUCGGAACGUGCCAUUGAGUGGGGGGAUAACGUAGCGAAAGUUACGCUAAUACCGCAUAUUCUGUGAGCAGGAAAGCAGGGGACCGCAAGGCCUUGCGCUCUUUGAGCGGCCGAUGUCAGAUUAGCUAGUUGGUGAGGUAAAGGCUUACCAAGGCGACGAUCUGUAGCGGGUCUGAGAGGAUGAUCGCCACACUGGAACUGAGACACGGUCCAGACUCCUACGGGAGGCAGCAGUGGGGAAUUUUUGGGACAAUGGGCGCAAGCCUGAUCCAGCCAUGCCGCGUGAGUGAAGAAGGCCUCGGGUUGUAAG